GUUUGUCACUCCCCGUGCCGUGUUCGUCGUCUUCCUGGUUUCCUUAUGUCCUGUCAUCCUCCCGCCCUCCCCUGGAUCAGAUCUCCUCGAUGGAGACUUUUCAGUAUGUCAACUCACCUGUGGAUGAAAGAAGAGAGAGGAGGAAGGAUAAUGUUCCAUCAGGAGGAUCCAAAAUCUUCAUGUUAGUGGGAGUGAGUUUUGGCCUGCUCUGCAUCAUACAGGCUGCUCUCAAUGUAUCUCUACGGCUGCAACCUGCAGGGAGUUCAGACAGAUUGAACAAUAGCAAUUUGACCACGAUGUCAGAUGAUGAUGUCAGAAACAACCUGAUCAUGGAGCGAGAC
ensembl:lncRNA